rnacentral:lncRNA from 1 species
AACAUUAGGGAGCUUUUCCAACAUAUUUUCCCCGGUUCUAGCAAUGCGACCCCAGUAAACCUUAGGAUACUCCUUUCUCUGAAUUGCUUGAACGACCACCUUAGAAUCCAUUUCAAUGAUGAAUGUUCGAAGCUUUUUCUCCCGCUGAAGCUUGUAUUCGUUCAAAUUAGCGCUGGCGUGAUCAACGACAACCAAAACAGGUAUGUCUUUGUCUUGAAAUACUAAGCAAUUUAUGGCCGUCCAUAUAUGAUAGCAGAUAGAGCUUAUUAGCUCCACACCCUCUUUAUUUUUUUUCGGAAGCAUCCCCUGGAACCAGUCUUUAAAACUUUGAUUUCUGCAAAAAGAAUUGUUAAACUUUAUCGUUAGCGGGGAUGCGAACCACACCUGUUUUGCCCAACCAUAAUCUUGAAAUACAUGGUUAAUAUCCUCUAGUUUGGCGUUUCACCGGGGACAUACCGGGGACANNNNNNNNNNNNNNNNNNNNNNNNNNNCGUUUCCACAAUUUCACAUUUCAUCGUUUUUACAAUUUCCUCUCGCGAUCUUUUUUGUUGAUAUUUUACAAUUUCAUCAUUUUUACAAUUUAACUUGUUGAAUAUGAUUUUUUUGUGUAUUUUGUGUGUAGCAAUAGAAUCUGGAAGAGGGCACUAAGGUGCUGGUUCCUAACUCUGAUGUGGUUGUUGAAGGUCCUCAACCUAUGGAAGGUAAUUUGAUUUUUUGGAACUAAUGUAAUGCUUGUUAUAACCACUAAUAACAAAAACAGAGUUAAAUUUUCAAAAUAGAAAACAAAAGUAGAGUUAAAUACUUAGUAUUCCAUGUAACAACUUUGUCUAAUAUGCAUAAACGAGACAAGUUUUUCACUAGGUAUAAUAUAUUACUCCCUCCGUCCCAAAUUAUAAGGGAAAAAAAGUCUAUUUUAUUUGUCUCAAAUUAUAAGGGAGAAAAUCAUUUUUAAGAAUGUUUUUCUCUUAUUCUCAUAAAAUUAAAUGCAAAUUGCAUUUAAUUUUCUCAAUAAACAACAACCAAUAAAAAUUGUUUUUACAUCUUCUUAUGCAACUUAUUCCAAGGAAAACCCACAAAAACAUAUUUCAAAUUUUCAUGUUUUACUUUUUCUUAAUAAGUGUGAUUUUUUUAUUUUCUCUUAUAAUUCGGGACGGAGGGAGUACAUCGCGCAUCUCAUUUGAUUCAAUGUAAGACUUAUUGAUUCAUUGGUGAAAACAAUCUUAUGCAUAUGCAUGAUGAAAAUGUACAUCAUAUAUUUGGCCAAUAAAGACCUAUAACAUAACAUGAGAAAAAUACAAAUUUAAGAUUCCCUUUCAUCAAAGAUAAACCAUAGAUAUUCAUCAACUCAGCAUUACACAUAUCACUCGAGUUCUCUAUCACGAAUUUGAAUUGAAGCAUUUCAAUCACUUGACUCGUAUAGUUGUUCUUAUAUCUCUAUCUUCCUCAGCAUUACACAAUGCAAAAUCCAUUCCAAACAUUCUUCGUGUAGAUAAGCUAGAACUCUAGAUGUUCCUAAAGCAAUAUCAUAACUUUUACUCCAAUCAAGUUCAGCUAAAGAACCAUUUUCCAUGUACUCAUAUACCAAAAGUCUAUGUAAGUUUUAAACUUUCUGCAAUUUUAAACAUUUUUUUGGUUAGUUUCACAACUGUAGUUUGAUUAAUCCAAGAAGGGUUUUUUUUUUUCCAGUGUUGUUGAUUUUAUGGUUAAUGUUAUUAUUUUAUUGUGACACAAUUGUAGGUGUUGUUGUCGAGAUAUUGGU